GCGGGGAUAGCUCAGUUGGGAGAGCGUCAGACUGAAGUCACACUUCAAUCUCAUUAUCUGAAGGUCGUGCGUUCGAUCCGCACUCACCGCA
rnacentral:tRNA from 1 species